CCUACGGGAGGCAGCAGUAGGGAAUCUUCCGCAAUGGACGAAAGUCUGACGGAGCAACGCCGCGUGAACGAUGAAGGCCUUCGGGUCGUAAAGUUCUGUUGUUAGGGAAGAACAAGUGCUAGUUGAAUAAGCUGGCACCUUGACGGUACCUAACCAGAAAGCCACGGCUAACUACGUGCCAGCAGCCGCGGUAAUACGUAGGUGGCAAGCGUUGUCCGGAAUUAUUGGGCGUAAAGCGCGCGCAGGCGGUUUCUUAAGUCUGAUGUGAAAGCCCCCGGCUCAACCGGGGAGGGUCAUUGGAAACUGGGAAACUUGAGUGCAGAAGAGGAAAGUGGAAUUCCAAGUGUAGCGGUGAAAUGCGUAGAGAUUUGGAGGAACACCAGUGGCGAAGGCGACUUUCUGGUCUGUAACUGACGCUGAGGCGCGAAAGCGUGGGGAGCAAACAGGAUUAGAUACCCUGGUAGUCCACGCCGUAAACGAUGAGUGCUAAGUGUUAGAGGGUUUCCGCCCUUUAGUGCUGAAGUUAACGCAUUAAGCACUCCGCCUGGGGAUACGGUCGCAAGACUGAAACUCAAAUGAAAUUGACGG
rnacentral:rRNA from 1 species